rnacentral:rRNA from 1 species
CCUACGGGAGGCAGCAGUGAGGAAUAUUGGACAAUGGGCGCAAGCCUGAUCCAGCCAUGCCGCGUGCAGGAAGACGGUCCUAUGGAUUGUAAACUGCUUUUGUACAGGAAGAAACACUCCCUCGUGGAGGGAGCUUGACGGUACUGUAAGAAUAAGGAUCGGCUAACUCCGUGCCAGCAGCCGCGGUAAUACGGAGGAUCCAAGCGUUAUCCGGAAUCAUUGGGUUUAAAGGGUCCGUAGGCGGUUUAAAUAAGUCAGUGGUAGAAAUCUGGUCGCUCAACGAUCAAACGGCCAUUGAUACUGUUAGACUUGAAUUAUUAGGAAGUAACUAGAAUAUGUAGUGUAGCGGUGAAAUGCUUAGAUAUUACAUGGAAUACCAAUUGCGAAGGCAGGUUACUACUAAUGGAUUGACGCUGAUGGACGAAAGCGUGGGGAGCGAACAGGAUUAGAUACCCUGGUAGUCCACGCCGUAAACGAUGGAUACUAGCUGUUCGGAGCAAUCUGAGUGGCUAAGCGAAAGUGAAUAAGUACUCCCACCUGGGGAGUACGUUCGCAAGAAUGAAAACUCAAAGUAGUAAGUUCGGACGUGAGAGAGACGACGACGACGACGACGGAGGGAGGAG